UUCGAUAAAGUAAUAGAAAACAACUAUAAAAGACCCUUCUCUCAUUCUCAUUUUCAUUCACAUUCACUUCACCACUUUCUCUUUUACCAUUUCUGCAAUCACAUUUUGUGAAACCCUAACCCGAUAAUCUAUAGUAUCAAAACCCACAACUCGUUCUUCCACCGCCAUAUUAACCAUCUUCAGACUCGAAACCUUAGUUGAAAUCAACAAUGAUGGAGACAAAUUUCGUGGUUCAGGUUCACUGAAAACAUUGUCAGUUAUCUCUGCGGUGACACUUUUUUUGUGGAGUAUGGAAAAAUAAUGGUGGAUUAGGAGGGAACAAAGGGGCUCUAAGAAACUACUAAGCUUUUCCAGCUUUGGCCAAAUCCCCGAAGAAGAUCAUCCACGACCUCCAACUUGGUGAUGAAGUUGAUGCUUAUCACAAUGAUGGAUGGUGGGACAAUCGCAUCUCCUGAUCAUUAAGGAACAAUAUACAGGCUGUGUAUUUCAAAGGCUCGUGGGAGAAGCUAGCAUACUCCGACGAAGAACUAAGGAGGCACCAUAAGUGGGUCAAUGGAAGUUGGAUCCCACCAUUUCCACAAUAGGAUGAUGAUAGUGAAAUAAAAGAAUCGGAGCAGAUAAAGGGUCCUGAAACAGUGAGUUGAGACAAGGGUGAUUUCAAGUUUAAACCAUGGACAUUAGUUGAGGUGUGGAAUGGGGGAGAUGGUUUCAAUGAGGCUUAGUUUUGUGUAAACUUGGUUGAGCCUAAGGCAAGAUGGAAGUCGUUGUCGAGUAUGAAAAUGUUAUUAAUGAUGAUGAUUUAAAGUUAUUGAAAGAGUAAAUCUGUAUGAUUCAGAUUAAGCUUUGUCCACCAAAAACUGAUGAUGUUGACCAGUUUAAAUAUCUUGAUGAAGUAAAUGCAUAGUAUAAAGACGAUUAGUGGGUUGGGAUUAUUUCUAAUGUUCUCAGAGACUCCAAAUAUAUUUUUUAUUUAUGGAACUUCGGUGAAGAAAUGGAGUUUAAACAUACUGAGUUGAGGGUACAUCAGGACUGAAUUGUUCAUAAAUGGGUAAUGGCUUCUAAGCUUUGAAGUUUUGAAUGCUGGAGAAAAAUCCAGACUAUUAUUAGACUCAGUUCUUAUUAGUCAAACCUUUUAAUUUGUAGUUCUAAACUACUAAUCUUCAAGAGUUUGAUGAAAUAAACAAUAUAUUUGGAGUCUCUUUAGAAAUAACCCCAACCCACCAACCGUCUCUGUAGUAUGCAUCCACUUUAUCAAGAACCUUAAACUCAUCAACAACAUCAGUAGGCCUAGCCUAAUCUGAAACCGACUGAUUUCCUCUUUCAAAUGCUUAUAAUCAUCUUCAUCAAGAAGACUUUCGUACUGCACGACAAACUUCCAUCCUUCCUUGAAACCAUCUCCAUCAUUGCACACAUGUUGUGGAAAUGGUGUGAUCCAACUUCCAUUGGCCCACUUAUGGUGCCACCUCAGUUUUUCAUCAGAGUACGCUUGCUUCUCUGACCAAUCUUUGAAAUACACUGCCCACAUAUCGCCCCUAAAUGAUUCGGAGAUGCGAACUUCCCACGUCAUAAGCAUCAACUUCAUCACCAACUUGGAAGUCCUGGAUGAUCUCAUUAGGAUGAAUUGGACGGAGCUAGGAAAGCUUAGCAAUUUCUUGGAGGUCCUUUGUUCCCUCUUCAUCCUCCAUUAUUUUGUCAUACUCCACAACAAAUUUGUCACCACAGAGACAAUGAAUAAUCUUUCUGGUGAACCAUGAACCAUAGUAUCCGUCUACAUCGUUGCCGAUUUCAACUAAUGUUCCUAGUCUGAAGAUGGUUGAUGUGACGCAAAAAGAACAGGUUGUGGGUUUGGAUGCCAGGGAUUAUAAGGCUAGGGUUUCACGCGAUUUGAUUGCACAAUAGGUAAAAAAUAAAAAGGUUAAAUGAAUGUGAAUGAGAAUGAAAAGAGUGUUUAGUUGUUUUCUAUUACUUUAUCAUAUAAAUGAUUAAUG